rnacentral:lncRNA from 1 species
AUGGUGGCACACACCUCUCAUCCCAGCACUCAGGAGGCUGAAGCAGGAGGAUGGCUCCACAACUUUCACUUCCAGCUUCUCAUCACCCCACACCAUUUGAGUUUUGCCUCUUCCCUUCACUUCCAUGGGGUGUGGCAUGCGAAGGAAUAUCCCAGUCUUCAACUUUCACUUAAAACAGUGGAACAAAUCCAUGAUAUCAGAGAGAUGAAGGCCACUUCCAUGAGAUCCAGUCACAACGACUCCCAGGUCAGGGAGUGGGAGACGGGUAAGGAAGACCCUUCCACCAACGGCCAUCCAAGUGCCAAAGAGAACAGUGAGCCAGCAUGGAACGAUGCAAUGAGAUAAAAAUGCAUAAGAAAGACGCUUGGAAGGACUUCCAGGGCCCAGAGAGUGCAUGGCCGUGGGGCACUGAAAGAGGACAAGAGCGACUAGAGAUCCCCAAAGCCUAACAGCUGGUGCCCCGGAAACCCUCAAGGGGAAGGGUGGAAGGGGGUCUGUUGCCAAGCAUAUGAUGCAUGACUUAGGCCUGGAUCUGGGGUAAUUAGAUCUGAAUGGAACAUCUAAUUGCAAAAGUUUUGAGCUAGAGAAAACAUUUGCUCAUUAAAAGGUAAAUAACAGAAAUGAAUGCCCUCCGUCUUUUAGAGUCAAAAACUAAGGAUGCUUGAAGGCAGAAUUGGCCACCCUCGGGAGUUCCUCAAGAUAGUUUUACUUUAAAAAACAAAAAACAAACCUACGAUUCUGUGAUUUUUUAGGAGCUAAGUCGUAGAACUGCAAAACAGUGCUGAAGAAAUCAACAGCCUCUGAAAACGUGCCUUUCCCCAGAAUCAGGUCAGGCAGAGACGAGAGUGUAGUUCGUGCAUGUGGCCACACAGGGGCAGCAGACACAAACACAUCUUUUCUUAAAACAGCGACUUUGCUCCUAGUUCCCAAGCCACCACCUUCCUGCAGACCCGGGACUCGCUCAGGUGCGGGUCGGCCUCGCCAACAGGAAGCCGGAAGGGCCGCCCGCUGCUCGAUGCCCUCCGGCGGCUCCCGUGCUGCGCGGUCGGUCAGGUCCGCGCCUCAUCACCCGCACACUUUUCUUGCUAACUUCAGCUCACGCCUUUGGCCUUGCCUUGUCUCUCCUUCCCGGCCACAGUCUGGCUCUGGGCGUCACAAGCCGGUGGGCAGGAUGACCAAAGGCGGGCCGUGACCGGCCGCGCUGGGGCAGGUGAGCCCUGGCUCCACGCUCCGAUUCUCCGCCGUGCAGAGCGGCACUGGGGUUAAAGCCCCUCCCAGCCACCACUGCCCCCUGAGAAACAUGGAUUUUUCUGCCUUGUUAUUGAGUCCAAGACUCCACUUUCUCUUCCGAGACGGGAGAAUGCAGUGUAACCACCUAAAGGCGUGGCUUUCCUAUUCUCCUGGGAGCGACCGAUCCAACAUGCUAGGGGUAGAGGAUGUCACCAAG